rnacentral:lncRNA from 1 species
AUGACCGAGGAAAGCAUUGCUGCUGGGGAUGUGAUGGACAUCAGUACUACUGUACAUGACUUGCUACAGACCGGCCUCAUCCACAACACGUCAGGCAUGUGGCAUACAAGAAGUUGCCAAAGCCUUAGACAAGUGCAGUGCCCACAUCUGUGUGUUUGCAUCUGAUUGUAAUGAACCCAUGUAUGUCAAGUUGGUAGGGGAACUUUGUGCUGAGCACCAAUGUGGCCUAAUUAGGGUUGAUGAAAAUAAGAAAUUAGGGAAAUGUGUUGGCCUCUGUAAAACCAAUUGAGAGGAGAAGCCACAUAAAGUGGGGAGGCUAUGAGCUAGCUCAUCAGGAAAGGGGGCAAGCUCCAGCAUGCAGUUGUGUGUAGUAGGAUAUCAUUAAAGAGUACUUCAAAUGCAAGAAA